GCGCAGCAGGCGAGAAACCUUCGCAAUGCGGGAAACCGCGACGAGGGGACUCCCAGUGCCUACGCUCAGCGUAGGCUGUUCCCGAGCCUAGAAAGCUCGGGGAGUAAGGGCUGGGUAAGACGGGUGCCAGCCGCCGCGGCAAUACCCGCAGCCCGAGUGGUGGCCACUAUUAUUGGGCCUAAAGCGUCCGUAGCCGGCCCGGUAAAUGCCUGGGUAAAUCGUGAGGCCUAACCUCACGAAUUCCGGGUAGACUGCCGGGCUAGGGACCGGAGGAGGGAGAGGGGUACUCCAGGGGUAGGGGUGAAAUCCUGUAAUCCCUGGAGGACCACCGGUGGCGAAGGCGCUCUCCUAGGACGGGUCCGACGGUGAGGGACGAAAGCCAGGGGAGCGAACCGGAUUAGAUACCC
rnacentral:rRNA from 1 species